rnacentral:piRNA from 1 species
UCCACCAUAGCUACCUGGAUCAGUGAUGG